UGUUAGGACCUUCCUCUUGCUGCUCACGCUGAUUCCCGGGCUCAGUUAACCAUUAAAACCGAGUUUCAACAUCAAACUGGAAGAACCCAUACCGCCGGCUACUCUUCUUCCUAUGGUUGCUUUCUUCUCUUGCUUGGUUGAUUAAAUCCACACACUUAGGAUGGAUACCACUCAGGUAAGGUUCACAAAGACUCAAGCAAUUUGGGUGGAGAAGAAAUCACGAAGAAGAUGAAGACAUAAGACACGGCUGGACACGGCAGUUUCUUCUUCCUCACGGCUUCAAUUUUGGACGGUUCCAACAAAGGCAAAGGCACCAAUAUAUAUAGUAAGUCAAGUGGCCAACAUAAGGUAAGUCGGGAUAUGGUAAGUAGGCUCGACUAGGGUUAACUUCCAAUGGGAGAAAUCAACAAGCCACAAAGAAUAUUAGCCGUCCAAUAGGUAAGGCAACGUUUGGUCGGUUCAUCCAUUAUUCGAUGUUGAAUUAUCGUUCAGUCAUUUAUGUCGACUGAUAAAAUUGGUUCUCAUCAUCGCCCGG
rnacentral:lncRNA from 1 species